GAUGAACGCUGGCGGCGUGCCUAACACAUGCAAGUCGAACGGAAUUUACAUGAAGCCUAGCGAUUGUAAAUUUAGUGGCGGACGGGUGAGUAACGCGUGGGUAACCUGCCUUGUACUGGGGGACAACAGUUGGAAACGACUGCUAAUACCGCAUAAGCGCACAACUUCGCAUGAAGCAGUGUGAAAAACUCCGGUGGUACAAGAUGGACCCGCGUCUGAUUAGCUGGUUGGUGAGGUAACGGCCCACCAAGGCGACGAUCAGUAGCCGGCCUGAGAGGGUGAACGGCCACAUUGGGACUGAGACACGGCCCAAACUCCUACGGGAGGCAGCAGUGGGGAAUAUUGCACAAUGGGGGAAACCCUGAUGCAGCGACGCCGCGUGAGUGAUGAAGUAUUUCGGUAUGUAAAAACUCUAUCAGCAGGGAAGAUAAUGACGGUACCUGACUAAGAAGCACCGGCUAAAAUAACGUG
rnacentral:rRNA from 1 species